ACAACACAACGUAAUUAAAACGUUUAGCUGAUUUUACAGAGUUAUCUGCCUGUAGUGUUAGGUACCACCUUAAGUUCUAGGGAGUGUCAGUUUUCUAACACCGUUGUUGUUUUCUUUCAUUUAAAAUCUUGUUUACACUAAUGACUGUCUGUAAAUAAUGAAUCUUGGAGUGUUUUGGAAUAUUGUUUUCUUUUUAACACGAUUUCUUUUCUUAAACAUAUAACGUUAAAUAUCAAACCAUUACAAGGAUAAUAGGUAAGAACAAUAAAAUGUUCAGAGAAAUUGGAUCAUUUAAUAAUUGAUUAUUCAUUAUACAUUCAUUAUAAUAGGUAUCUUUUUCCUUUAAU
rnacentral:lncRNA from 1 species